GAUGAACGCUGGCGGCGUGCCUAAUACAUGCAAGUCGAGCGAACGGACGAGAAGCUUGCUUCUCUGAUGUUAGCGGCGGACGGGUGAGUAACACGUGGAUAACCUACCUAUAAGACUGGGAUAACUUCGGGAAACCGGAGCUAAUACCGGAUAAUAUUUUGAACCGCAUGGUUCAAAAGUAAAAGACGGUCUUGCUGUCACUUAUAGACGGAUCCGCGCUGCAUUAGCUAGUUGGUAAGGUAACGGCUUACCAAGGCAACGAUGCAUAGCCGACCUGAGAGGGUGAUCGGCCACACUGGAACUGAGACACGGUCCAGACUACUACGGGAGGCAGCAGUAGGGAAUCUUCCGCAAUGGGCGAAAGCCUGACGGAGCAACGCCGCGUGAGUGAUGAAGGUCUUCGGAUCGUAAAACUCUGUUAUUAGGGAAGAACAUAUGUGUAAGUAACUGUGCACAUCUUGACGGUACCUAAUCAGAAAGCCACGGCUAACUACGUG
rnacentral:rRNA from 1 species